rnacentral:SRP_RNA from 1 species
GGGUAAGUCUUGUACGAUCUGCUCCCGAUGAACCCCUCCAGGGCCGGAAGGCAGCAAAGGUAAAACGGUUGUAGCGAUGCGAUACAAGGAGCUUACCCUUU